UGGAGACUGUUGGAAAUUUUUUUAAAAAAUAUAGCUAGUGGAGACUGUUGAAAAAAAGUAAAUAAAAUACUGACUGCAUAAACGGUUUGAAAGUAAAAUAUAAAAUACGGCUAGUGGAGAUGGUUAGAAAAAAUAUAUAAAAAUAUGGCUAGUGUGGAUGGUUGGAAAAUAGAAAAUAAAAUACGGCUAGUGGAGACGGUUGGAAAAUGUUUGUAAAAAUAUAGCUAGAGGAGACUGUUGGAAAUAACUUGUAAAAAUAAAGCUUGUGGAGACGGUUGGAAAUUUUUUAAAAAAUACAGACUGCCUUAAUGGUUUGAAAGUAAAUAAUUAAAUAGGGGUAGUUGAAACCGUUGGUAAAUAGAAAAUAAAUCACAGCUUGUGGUGACGGUUGGAAAAUAAAAAAUAAAAUACAUUUAGAGGAGACAGUUAAAUAAAAGUAAAUAAACUACUGACUGCGUAAACGGUUUGAAAGUAGGAAAUAAAAUACGGCUAGUGGAGACGGUUGGAAAAUAUAAAAUAAUAUACAGCUAGUGUAGACGGUUUUUUAAUAGAAAAUAGAAUACAGAAUGCGUAGAUGGUUGGAAAAUUGAAAAUAAAAUAAGGCUAGUGGAGAUUGUUGGAAAAAAAAGUAAAUAAAAUACCCACUGUGCAUACAGUUUUUCAGUGGAAAAUAAAAUACAGAUAGUGGGGACGGUUGGAAAAAAAUACAGCUAAUGGAGAAGGAAAAUAUUUUUUUUAAUAUAGCUAGUGGAGCCGUUUGAAAAUAGAAUAGAAUAUUAGAUUGUGUAGGCCGUUUGUAAAAAGAAAUUAAAAUACAGGCUUCGUAGACGGUUUGAAAAUAGAAAUUAAAAUACAGGCUUCGUAGACGGUUUGAAAAUUAAAAAAAUAAAACACAGCUAGUGGAAAUAGUUGGAACAAAGUAAAUAAAAUACCGGCUGCGUAAAUGGUUUGGAAGUAGAAAAUAAAUUAUAGCUAGUGGAGACUGUUAGAAAAAAAAAAA